rnacentral:rRNA from 1 species
UACAGAGGUCCCAAGCGUUGUUUCGGAUUUCACUGGGCGUAAAGGGUGCGCAGGCGGUCGGGUAAGUCUGACGUGAAAUCUUUCAAGCUCAACUUGGAAACUGCGUCGGAUACUAUUCGGCUAGAGGAAUGGAGGGGAGACUGGAAUUCCAGGUGUAGCGGUGAAAUGCGUAGAUAUCUGGAGGAACACCGGUGGCGAAGGCAGAUCUCUGGGCCGUAACUGACGCUGAGGAGCGAAAGCAUGGGGAGCGAACAGG